rnacentral:rRNA from 1 species
UGAGGAAUAUUGGUCAAUGGGCGAGAGCCUGAACCAGCCAAGUAGCGUGCAGGAUGACGGCCCUAUGGGUUGUAAACUGCUUUUAUAAGGGAAUAAAGUGAGCCUCGUGAGGCUUUUUGCAUGUACCUUAUGAAUAAGGACCGGCUAAUUCCGUGCCAGCAGCCGCGGUAAUACGGAAGGUCCGGGCGUUAUCCGGAUUUAUUGGGUUUAAAGGGAGCGUAGGCCGGAGAUUAAGCGUGUUGUGAAAUGUAGGCGCUCAACGUCUGCACUGCAGCGCGAACUGGUUUCCUUGAGUACGCACAAAGUGGGCGGAAUUCGUGGUGUAGCGGUGAAAUGCUUAGAUAUCACGAAGAACUCCGAUUGCGAAGGCAGCUCACUGGAGCGCAACUGACGCUGAAGCUCGAAAGUGCGGGUAUCGAACAGGAUUAGAUACCCUGGUAGUCCGCACGGUAAACGAUGGAUGCCCGCUGUUGGUCUGAACAGGUCAGCGGCCAAGCGAAAGCAUUAAGCAUCCCACCUGGGGAGUACGCCGGCAACGGUGAAACUCAAAGGAAUUGACGGGGGCCCGCACAAGCGGAGGAACAUGUGGUUUAAUUCGAUGAUACGCGAGGAACCUUACCCGGGCUUGAAUUGCAGAGGAAGGAUUUGGAGACAAUGACGCCCUUCGGGGCCUCUGUGAAGGUGCUGCAUGGUUGUCGUCAGCUCGUGCCGUGAGGUGUCGGCUUAAGUGCCAUAACGAGCGCAACCCCUCUCCUUAGUUGCCAUCAGGUUAAGCUGGGCACUCUGGGGACACUGCCACCGUAAGGUGUGAGGAAGGUGGGGAUGACGUCAAAUCAGCACGGCCCUUACGUCCGGGGCUACACACGUGUUACAAUGGCAGGUACAGAGAGACGGUCCCUUGCAAAAUGGAUCAAAUCCUUAAAGCCUGUCUCAGUUCGGACUGGGGUCUGCAACCCGACCCCACGAAGCUGGAUUCGCUAGUAAUCGCGCAUCAGCCAUGGCGCGGUGAAUACGUUCCC